CAAAAAACAACUUUCUUAAAAUUAAAAAUUGAAAUUUUUUUAAUUUGUGUAAAAACAAUUAUAAAAAUUAAAGACAAGAAGACCCUAAGAAUUUUUAAAAUUUAAAUAAUACAUUUUUUGUUUUAAUUAAAUUUUAACUGGGGCGGUUAAAAAAUAUUAAAAACUUUUUAAUUUAAAAAUGACCCAUUAUUAAUGAAAAUAUGAUUAAAUACUCUAGGGAUAACAGCGUUAUAUUUUUUGAUAGAUCAUAUUGACAAAA
rnacentral:rRNA from 3 species